CAAUAGCGUAUAUUAAAGUUGUUGCGGUUAAAAAGCUCGUAGUUGGAUUUCUGCCGAGGACGACCGGUCCGCCCUCUGGGUGAGCAUCUGGCUCGGCCUGGGCAUCCUCUUGGAGAACGUAGCUGCACUUGACUGUGUGGGGCGGUAUCCAGGACUUUUACUUUGAGGAAAUUAGAGUGUUUCAAGCAGGCAUACGCCUUGAAUACAUUAGCAUGGAAUAAUAAGAUAGGACCUCGGUUCUAUUUUGUUGGUUUCUAGAGCUGAGGUAAUGAUUAAUAGGGAUAGUUGGGGGCAUUCGUAUUUAACUGUCAGAGGUGAAAUUCUUGGAUUUGUUAAAGACGGACUACUGUGAAAGCAUUUGCCAAGGAUGUUUNCAUUGA
rnacentral:rRNA from 1 species